rnacentral:lncRNA from 1 species
GGUGCACCGUUACAAGUGUCCGCAAUUGUCGUUCGGGUUCUUUCACUGCUAUGGAAGAAGCCCAUUGUUGCUGUUAAUCACUGCGUUGCACAUAUUGAGAUGGGAAGGAUUGUUACUGGGGCCGAUGAUCCUGUUGUGUUGUAUGUUAGUGGUGGGAAUACUCAGGUUAUUGCGUAUAGUGAAGGACGAUAUAGAAUCUUCGGAGAGACUAUUGAUAUUGCUGUUGGGAAUUGCUUGGAUCGGUUUGCUCGUGUUUUAACCCUUUCGAAUGAUCCAAGUCCUGGAUAUAACAUUGAGCAGGUAGUCUAAAAGAUGUUAUAUGGUGUUUUUCAAGUUCGUAGUUGCGGUCAUCUACUGUUAGCUGUUUUGCCACUGAUUGAAUACUUUUAGGUCGAUAAUGCAGUGUAUGCUUCAUACUUUUAAGUGAUUUCAGCCAUUUCGGAUUUGUUUGUCUUGCUGAAGCUCUAUUAAGCAUUUAGUCGAUGUUUUCGGGCUUCUUUUUGAGACAAAUUAGAUGCUUUUAUCAGUGUUUCCAUAUUACUAGAUUUGUUUGUUGUUUCUUUUCUUGGAAUAAAGUUUUUCUCAAACAGCCUAAUGUAUUUCCAGUUUUCUGUUAAACUUUUCUGAUACGAUUUUCUCCAUUUCCAGCUGGCAAAGAAAGGUGAAAAAUUUAUCGAUCUUCCAUACGUGGUCAAAGGGAUGGAUGUUUCGUUUAGUGGAAUAUUGAGCUACAUCGAAGCUACUGCCGAGGAGAAGCUCAAAAAUAAUGAAUGCACCCCUGCGGAUUUAUGCUACUCCCUUCAGGUGAAUUACCCUUUUUCAUUCUUUACUUCAAGAGUAUAUUCAGACUAGGUAAAGUGUCCAAGGAUCCUUUUACAAGCACUCUAUCAUAUCGUUUUCAACUUAUUCUACAAUACAUUACAGGAAACUCUAUUUGCAAUGCUCGUGGAGAUUACGGAACGAGCAAUGGCUCAUUGUGACUCGAAAGAUGUUCUUAUUGUUGGUGGCGUGGGUUGCAAUGAGCGGUUACAAGAGAUGAUGCGAAUAAUGUGUUCCGAGCGAGGUGGGAGAUUGUUUGCAACCGAUGACAGGUACUGCAUCGACAAUGGAGCGAUGAUAGCAUAUACAGGUCUCCUUGCCUUUGCUCAUGGGUACUCAACACCACUCGAGGAGUCAACAUUCACCCAACGGUUUCGUACUGAUGAGGUGCACGCAAUCUGGAGAGAGAAACAAGAGUCGGGUGACUUGAGUGGUCUUCCGGAUGGAGGAAUCUAAAUGCAAGUUGCUAUUAAGGUAUGUAUGUUAUCUGGUUUUUUAAUCUUUAUUUUGUAGUUUUAGAAAGUUUCGAUGGUUAAGUUUCAAAUUUCCAAAGUUUUGUAUUUACUAAACGUAAAACCCUAUUGUUCUCGAUUCAUGCGUGUCGAAUAGGAGUAUGUGUCUAACACAGGCACAUUCAAUUUUUCUAAGGCUUUUCCAUGUACUUGAAAGGUGUUUAGAAGGUCAUAUCCUCAAAACUAUGUUCGAAGCCGUGUCAGAUAAGGUGGCAGUCUAGGGUACUUAAAGAAAAAUGAGGAGUCGAAACAUUAUAGGCUAAACCUGGUAAAAGUAUUAUGGAAGCCCCUGUACUAGGAGUCAGAUUACAUUUUGCCCCCUCUACUAAAAAAUGGGUAGAUUAGUCUCCCUACAUUAGUUCAAAAAGCAUAUUGGUCAUUUCUGUUAAAAAUUUCAUUCACUUGUAUUAUUAAAAGUUGGUGUGGUUAUUGAAAUAACUCGAUAGUGAUAAGUGGCAUACUGUGUGUACAUCAUAUUGACGUAUAGGAAUCAAUUUUUAAUAGUAGAAAUGAAUAAUUUUUUUAAUAGAAAGAAUAUUUGCUCUUUGAUUUAGUAUAAGGGCCUCGAUUGUACUUUUACCACCAAACCUAGAGCACUAGUAGAUUUCAUGCACCUAUGAAAUAUAUUAUUUUCAUUGGGUCAUCGGCAUUUUAGGAGUUCUUUGAUAAACAUCAUGUUUACCGGUACCAUCAGCUAUGUUUCUCCAACUCGUCGUUUUUCUUAUACGCAUGUUCCACCCAUAGAUAUGGGUUAUAACCCUUCAACGAAUCUCCAAAUACACAGAAAAACUUAAAAGGAAACAAACAUACUCGUGUCAGAUACAUACUCGUACAUGAUACUCUCACCUGAGUCCGAGUAGCAUAAGUUAUGACCUAAUCUAACUGAGUUUAGCAUUUAUAUAUUGUUAAUGAUUUGAAUAAAGUUCCACAUAUUUUCAUUACAACAACAUGCUACAUGUUUUUUUUCCAACCAGGUUUCAAUGAUUGUGUUGGGAUCAGGAUCUUGAAGAUUCAGAAAUGAUAUUAUGUAUCAAUUAUAUUGUUUUGUAGUAGACUUUACUAGGAAAAAAAGUUAAGAACAAACUUUAACUCUGUAUUAUGAAUAUGUCUGAAUAUGUAAAUCAUGUUCUGAAUGUGUUUAUUUGGAAUUGGAAGCUUGAAACUUCACUUUUUUUUUCUUCUUUUAUAAUUAACUCAAAAUUAUAUUUCCCUGAGUUUUGCAUUAUAAUUAUUGUUUUAUUAUUACAUUAACAUUAAUAUUUGUUGAGUGAAAUCCAGUUAGAUGUUACCUUAUUCAGACCGAGUUAUCGGAUUAAUCCAAGAUUCAAACUUGAAUCCUUUAAGUUAACAAAUCAUUCCAAGAUUCGAGUACAGAGACCUAUAAGUGAACAAAUCGUUUCAAGAUUUGAACUUAAAAAAAAAGUCAAAUGAAUGUUUUAAUACUAGACGUUAGAUUGCAUUGUCUCUUUUAAUUAAAAAAAAGAGUAAAUUAAUUUAUAUAUUAGAUCAAAAAGUAAAUUGGUAAUUUAGUUUAGAAAUUUAUCUAUUUUUAUUGUUAAAAAUUAAUUUAUGUAUAUUAGUAUAAGGUACAUGUGGCACGAUAUUUCAUCAGUAAUGUCAGUUUUUAUUGAUACAAAUGUAUUGCUUCUUUUUAUUUAACCAUAUAGGUUAAUAUACCCAUUUAGAAUGACAAAAGUACAAUUUGAGUUUUAAUAUAAGGGCUUUCAUAGUAAUUUUCCUAAAAUAUGACUUUGCUUUAUUUUGAUUUGGGAUAAAAAUAAAAUUAAAACAUACUUUGAUUUGAUUGCACAAAUGUGAAAAUUCCAAGGGCCAAAUUGGGUUUAUGAAUUUUUUUAAACAAAAGCAUAGAAUUUAAUUAAUUCAUAUAAUUACUUUUAAAAGAUAAUAUCCAAUCCAAAGCAUGGCAUAAUCCAUGUGUAUUACAAAUGUCCGAUGCUUAAGAUUAAUGUUUCUUGAUACAUAUUUAAAUAUAAAUAUGAGAGGUAAAAGUAUCAUGGAAGUUCAUAAUUGUAAGUUUUCAUUAAAAUUUAUACAUUAAAUUAAAAAGUAAAUCAAUAAUUUAUAUUAAAAAUUUUAUUCAUUUGUACUAUGACGAAAUAACCAAAUAGUGACUUGGGACAUGCCACGUGUAUCGUCCCAUGUGUAUCUUAUGUUGACGUAUAAUGCGCAGUUUUAAUAGUAAAAAUGAAAGGAUUUUUAACCGAAAGACUAAUUUACUCUAAAAUCUAACAUAUUAACAAAAUGUAAUUUAACUCUUAAUGCAUAAAUCUUCACGAUACUUUUACCGAAUAUGAAAACAUAAAAUUCUAAAAACUUUUCAAAUACAUUAAAUAUAUAUGUAAAUAUAUCUUGUGUCCCGAUCUCUCAUUGUUCAUAAAGAUUAACAGCCUACAACCAAUUUACAAAAUCUACACAACAAAAAUAAUAUAUUUGCGAGAAUUUACUUACCCUUUUCAUAGAUUUAUCAAAGGGUCGAACACCAUGAAUGCUACAAAAUAAUGGCUGUGAUGAUCUCUAGAUUCAACCACACUGAUGUUCCGAAUGGCACCCUCGAUCGUUUUCGAAAUGUGUUUGUUCCUUGAUGGAGGCCAAAAAAGGCACUUAAUUCUCCAUUAUCUUGAACACCAUGAAUGCUACAAAUUAUGACUGUGAUGAUCUCUAGAUUCAACUUCUUUGAUGUUUCGAACCACACCCUCGACUUUUUUCGAUAACUGGUUUGUGUGUUCCUCGAUGGAGGCCAAAAAUGCACAUAAUUGUUCCCUACAAAACACUAAUUCUUCAUUUGCUUGAUUCAACUUGGAUGAUUAUUCCUGGAUUUUCUUAUCUUAGUCAUCCUGAUGCAUAAAAAAAGAACAUGGUUGAUUUGAUUUAUAAACUUGUACUCGGCAAAGUUGAAAAAACCAAACCGGAGGUCCAACCGAUUGGACUUUUGAUUCCAUAUUUGACCGGACUGUUCAAUCAUCUUGUAAAUUUGAAGAUUCUGAUGAAGAUGACAUUUCCACAGGAGAUUCUUUCGGUUCUUGUGAAACAGAUAUCUUUGGAAGCAUUUCUUGAUUAUAACCUUUUAAAAAAUUGGUUAAAGGAUUAUUAUAAGAAUGCUUUUCCUUUUGCAUCAUUAGUGACUUUGAAACUUGUUUUGGUGGGGAAGGACUUUCUUCUGCUUCUUCUUCUUCAACAGGCCUUUUUCCUAUGGCCUUCUCUUUUUGUCUUUUUCUUUCUUCUUUCUCCAUCUAUUCCCAGUUUUUAACCGGGUUUAGCUUCCUAGUUCCCGGUUUUUUUACUGGUUUUGGCCGGUUCCCUAAUUUUCUGAUUCAACAUACAUAGUUGAAUUACCGACCAACUUCGACGGGUUGAACAGACAGGUCUGGUAUGGUUUUUCGAUUCAUGGGACUCAAAUAUGUAUAUGAUAAAAGUAUAUUCAAUUUUUUCUAAGAUUUUCACGUAUUUGGAGGAAGGACUACCCGUGUCUAGAUAAGCAUCAAACGUAAGUUCCGGACACAUGUACUUCAAGAAAAACGAAUAGUCGAAGCAACAUAACAAUCCUCUAUCUCUCCGACAAGUAAAAGCAGAACAGUAAGAAAUAUCAGCCUAAUUCUUUCAAACCAAAAAUGAAGGGUAAUAACUUACGGUAUAUGGUUGAUCUUUUCCUGAGGUAACAAAAAGAGGAUGAUUAUGCUCCUUAACGAAUUUCGUGAUAACGUAUUUCCUGGGUUUCUCUCGCUUCACGUUCAUCCUCGCCAUACACCCUUCUCGUUUGCUCUCUCGCUUUCGAACCCGAACACGAGUACUCUUUUGACUGUUCUUAUUAAAACCUUCUUUGUUACAUGCAAGUCGACGAUGGAUGAUUGAUCCAUCGAGCUCACACUUUCGGGACGAGAUAAUUCGUGUUAAAAACCCAUGCGUUUAGUCAUAGAAAGCUUUCGCUGCUUGCAUGGAUUCAAAUAGCAUACCCUCAUAUGGUUCUUGGUUUAGGUUGAGUUUGCGUAACUCAGAUUCAUCUCCUGCACAACUUUCUGCAACUAGAAUCUUUUCUUUGCUUUUUUCGACUUCAGUUACACCGGAUUCGCCAUCUAAAUAACUUUCUAUAAUGAAAACUUUAUCUUCUUUGCUUUUGUCAGCUUUGCUUAUGCCGGCUUCACCUUUGAUUCAACUUUCUGUUAUCUCGAUACGUUCCUCGAGGUUCUCCUUUUCCACUGCAAACCUGGACAAAACAAUUUAUCAUAUGCCAAUAUAAUCACAAACACGAACAACCAUAAUUCGUAAGCAUAUCAGCAUUCUGGAAGUGUGGAGUUAUCGGCUUUCAAAUAGCCGAUAACGUACAAUGGUCUACAAACAUUAGCACAAUUUAUACAUUUACUUGGCGAAAAAAAGCACGCCAUGGUACAAAAUAUCAUAAACAUAAGCUUCAGGAAACUGGUAAUAAUAACAACUUAUUUUGCAAAUCCAAUAUCGUUUAUUGACUCGAAAUUUAGUGAUCACAUAGUAAGUUGAACAGAAACCCUGCAAAUUUAUACAUUUAAUGCUUAUUGAAACACCUAAUUAAUUGGAUAUACACCCACAAACUGGAAUCAUGACCAACAGUCCCUGUAAAUUGAACACAAUUCGAAUUCGAUUAAGCGAAAUCACGAUGAACCAAAUUGAUGACCAGCCGUGUGUGGACUCGGCCCAACUGCUGCGGAGGGACCAAAAUUGUUUGAAAGCCCAACCAUUGGCUUAGUAAAUUCAUCACCAACAACAGCACCAUAGCCUGCCGAGCCUGCCGAAUGCCUAACACCCUGCCCAAUAGACGGCCCAACAGCAGCAUAACCUGCCACACGCCCAACAGACCUAGCGCCAGGCCCAACAGACCCAAAAACACCACCAGUGCCAGCCUUGUUGUCACAACCCUCAAAACAUUGAGGAACGCUAAACUGCAAAUAGGGCGCCGCACCAGAAAGGGAACCAUCCCACCAUGGAUUCGGCUGGUUCGUCAUAAAAGGAAAAGCAUCACCAGAAACCUUCACCGAACCACCAUACGGCACAGAACCAUCCACCACUGCCGCACCCGAACCGUUAUCAACCGACCUCGUGAAGCUCGCACCCCCGAUUCCGGACCACCAUACUCGCGAUUGAAACGGUAAUAGCACAGUUGAGCCAAGUGUCCAAACCGGCCACAUAUCUGGCACUGAGCGCAAGACCGAAACGCUCUCACUCGACUAACAGACGGUCGACCACCGCGCCCAGAGUCAACAACCGCUGGCGUCGAAAAGGCCUCUACGAAAUGAGCAUGGACCGGCACCUCUUGAACCGCUCGAACCUGCCGACUUUCAAAUUCCAACAGAACCUCCACCAAACGCUGAAACGGUAGAGGCUCGGAUGAGAAUGACGCAAGGGUGAGAACGGUAUCAAACUCCGACGGCAGUCCGGCUAAAACGAUUCCAACCUUCUCCGUGUCAGAAAUCCGAGAUCCGGCCGCAUCUAUCAAAGCACACAUGUUCUGAAUCUUCGCAAUUUAAUCCUUAACCGACAUCGCUCCCUUCUUGAUCGAAUAAAGAUCAUGCCGAAUCCGUGAGAGCUUUGCGCCAGAGACGGGAGCAAACAAUCGAGUAGCAGUUAUCCAAACAUCAUUCGCUGUUUUUGCAUCAGUAAAGCUAGGUAAAACAGAAGGAGAAAUAGUAGAAAGGAGCCACGAGGUAAGCAACUUAUCUUGUUGAUUAUACGCUAACGCUUCCGGAUUUGCCAUCAAGGAACCAUCCGGCGACUGCACGAACCUCGGUGGAGCGUUAUCGUGCCAUCAAGAAAGCCAGUCAAAUUAUAACCGUCGGUGAUGAGUCGAAUUUGCUGCCGCCACUGCACAAAACUGUUAUCAUCGAGCUUCACAGUUACGUGUGGAGGAAACGAUUGAAUCAACUGAUUGUUGCUAAACAUGGAGGAACAUGGUGGUGCAACAGUAGAAUCACUGGAAGCAUUGGUAGCCAUGUAGAACGGAAGAUGACAGGUCUCCAAGAAUUAGGCGACUGGUACCAUGACAAAUACUCAACAAAGCAGAGGUAAACAGAAAGAUAAACUGAGAAUUGAGAAAUCUUUAUUCCGCUCCUUUACUGUGUAUCAUUACAACUAUUUAUAUACAUUGUAUGAGUUAGCUAUUGCUAACAACCUUACUAACAGUAUAACAGUCUGUAACAGACUAACAAUCAACUCAACAGCUAAAGGUUCCUUAUACUCUUUAACAUAUGCCAAUAAUCACAAUCACAAACAACCAUAAUUCGUAAGCAUGUCAGCAUUCUGGAAGUGUGGAGUUAUCGGCUUUCAAAUAGCCGAUAACAUACAAUGGUCUACAAGCAUUAGCACAAUUUAUACAUUUACUUGGCGAAAAAAAGCACACCAUGGUACUCAAUAUCAUAAACAUAAGCUUCAGAAAACUGGUAAUAAUAACAACUUAUUUUGCAAUUCCAAUAUCGUUUAGUGAUCACAUAGUAAGUUGAACAGAAACCAUGCAAAUUUAUACAUUUAAUGCUUAUAGAAACACCUAAUUAAUUGGAUAUCCACCCACAAAUAGCAGUGUAAGUGAAACAAUGCUUUUGACUCAAAAAAAAGCUCUGGUUCAAUUCAGUCAUUCUCGAGGUCGAGUUCAAGCUAAUGAAUGAGUGAAGUUUGAGUAUCUUAACACUUGAUUUGAGCAACUCACGAACUUAAUCAAGCUCGAGCUUUUACUAUUUUAUCCAAAAUAUUUAUAUAUGCGACAGACUUAAGCUCAAACUUCAGUAAAAUUGAGUCAAACUCGAGCUUAGAUACACCCACAAAUAAUAGUGUGAGACAAUGCUUUUGACUCGAAAAAGAUCGAAUUCAAUUCAGUCAUUCUCGAGCUGAGUUGAGCUCGAGCUAUCAAGCGAGGCAACUUUUGAGUAUCUCAAUACUUGAUCUGAGCAACUCAUUAACUUAAUCGAGCUUGAGCUUUUACUACUUUAUCCAAAAAUUUGUAUAUGCAAACGGACUCAAGCUCAAACUCGAGUUUGAGUAUAUACACAGUGUAAACAAGCUUAAAUCAAGCUAAGCUCGAGCUUAGAUAAUGGCAUUCAAUUGAGCUAAAACUGAGCUUCAAGCAUCAAGUCUCGAGUGAGCUCGAGCUUCAGACUGUUCUGGCUCUGCUCGACUCUAUCACAGCCCUGCUGGCCACAAAAGAACAUGCACAAGCGCACACAUGUAUAUACAUAUAUGCAUAAGCUAAAUUUAACAUUUUCUUUCCUUUAGCUGUUUGGAAACAGGGAAAGGAAGUGAAUAAAAAAUUAAAUUAAAUUAAAUUAAGAGCUUUUAGUAUUUCUGGUUACUGGUUAGGUCGAGCGAGCCAAGUUUUUCCCGAAUUUUCUUUUCUUCUUUUCAAGUUAUUUCCAUUUUUUUUCUAUUGAUCUGAAAAGCUACAAUCCAGUGGUUUUCUUGAGAAACAAACAGGGAGAUAGCGCAUAUAUAACCACUAAAAAGAAUUCAAAUUAGAAUUUCAGGAAUAAUUCUAAAAAAUUUGGAAAAAGUUAAAUCGCAAAAUCGAAUUAGAAGAAACUAAAAUGCAACAGCAAAGAAAAAAAAUUAUUAUUUUUUAAAAUAUUAAAAAAAAAACUUACUUGAUUUUCUACUUCUUCUCCACUUAUUAUUGUAGAGUGGUUGACAUGUU